rnacentral:rRNA from 1 species
UACGUAGGGUGCAAGCGUUUAAUCGGAAUUACUGGGCGUAAAGCGUGCGCAGGCGGUUGUGCAAGACAGAUGUGAAAUCCCCGGGCUUAACCUGGGAAUUGCAUUUGUGACUGCACGGCUAGAGUGUGUCAGAGGGGGGGUAGAAUUCCACGUGUAGCAGUGAAAUGCGUAGAUAUGUGGAGGAAUACCGAUGGCGAAGGCAGCCCCCUGGGAUAACACUGACGCUCAUGCACGAAAGCGUGGGGAGCAAACGGGG